rnacentral:rRNA from 1 species
GACGAACGCUGGCGGCGUGCUUAACACAUGCAAGUCGAACGAUGAAGCACGAGCUUGCUGGUGUGGAUGUGUGGCGCACGCGUGAGUGAUACGUGAGGAACAUGCCCUUGAAUCUGGGAUAAGACCUGGAGAAUGGGUCUCAUACAGGAUGCUACAUGUCACAGCAUGGUGGUGUGUGGAAAAGGUCUACUGGGCUUGGAUGGGCUGAUGGCCUAUCAGCUUAUUGGUGAGGUAAUGGCUCACCAAGGUGACGACGGGUAGCUGGACAGAGGGGGUGACCGGCGGCACUGGGACCUACGCAAGGCCCCGGUUCCGACGGGAGGCCGCUGUGCGGAAGACUGACCAAUCGACGACACCCUGAUGCUGCGGCUCCGCGUGACGGAUGACUGCCUUCUGGUUGAAAAACUCUUGCAUCAGGGACGAAGCCACACGUGACGGUACCUGCAGAAGAAGCGCCGGCUAACUACGUG